rnacentral:rRNA from 1 species
CCUACGGGUGGCUGCAGUCGAGAAUCAUUCACAAUGGGGGAAACCCUGAUGCUGCGACGCCGCGUGGGGGAAUGAAGGUCUUCGGUUUGUAAACUCCUGUCAUGUGGGAGCAAAUUAAAAAGAUAGUACCACAUGAGGAAGAGACGGCUAACUCUGUGCCAGCAGCCGCGGUAAUACAGAGGUCUCAAGCGUUGUUCGGAAUAACUGGGCGUAAGGCGUGCGUAGGCGGUUUCGUAAGUCGUGUGUGAAAGGCGCGGGCGUAACCCGCGGACGGCACAUGAUACUGCGAGACUAGAGUAAUGGAGGGGGAAGCGGAAUUCUCGGUGUAGCAGUGAAAUGCGUAGAUAUCGGGAGGAACACUAGUGGCGAAGGCGAGUACCUGGACAUUAACUGACGCUGAGGCACGAAGGCGAGGGGAGCGAAAGGGAUUAGAUACCCGGGUAGUC